rnacentral:rRNA from 1 species
AACGAACGCUGGCGGCAUGCCUAACACAUGCAAGUCGAACGAGACCUUCGGGUCUAGUGGCGCACGGGUGCGUAACGCGUGGGAACCUGCCCUUAGGUUCGGAAUAACUCCCCGAAAGGGGUGCUAAUACCGGAUAAUGUCUUCGGACCAAAGAUUUAUCGCCUUUGGAUGGGCCCGCGUUGGAUUAGCUAGUUGGUAGGGUAAAAGCCUACCAAGGCGACGAUCCAUAGCUGGUCUGAGAGGAUGAUCAGCCACACUGGGACUGAGACACGGCCCAGACUCCUACGGGAAGCAGCAGUGGGGAAUAUUGGACAAUGGGCGAAAGCCUGAUCCAGCAAUGCCGCGUGAGUGAUGAAGGCCCUAGGGUUGUAAAGCUCUUUUACCCGGGAUGAUAAUGACAGUACCGGGAGAAUAAGCUCCGGCUAACUCCGUG